ensembl:lncRNA
CCCAGGGCCCACAGAGGUCUCUUCCCUGGGCGCACUAUCAGUAGAGACCCCAUCAGCAGGUACUCCAUCAGCCUGAGGGGUGGCCAAGGCCCUUCAGGGUGCAAGACUGAGUCCAGGACGGGAGGAGGAGGGGCCAGGCCAGGGCCAGGGUUGUUGUCAGUCGGGGCUGGGGGCUGAGGCACCUUGUGGGCAGAAGCUUCUAGGCCUAGGCAGAAAGAGGUCAGGAGAAACCUUAUGGCCUCCACGCUGGGUGCACUUUAUGGGUACCUGAGUGGUGAGAGUGGGAGAGCAGACGUGCCUUGGUGGGAGAUGAAAAGAGGAAAAGGAAAUAGGGUCUAUGUGUUGCCUAAGUGACUGGCAGAGGGAGCCGAACCCAGCAGCCCAGUGAGAAGGGGAGAAAUUCUUUGCAAUCCGUCUUCCUAUUCCCACUCCUGCUCCAGAGCAAGUUGCGGUCUGUGGCAGAAAAUGAGAUUUCUUUUGCAUUUGUUCUGGCCACACUUGUUUGGAUGAACUCUUGCUUUACAUGUUGUGUUUUUUUCCCAUUUUGCUGUUAGGUGGAUGUAUUUAUCAAGGUAGGGGGGUAGAACACAUUUUAUUUAAUAAUUUGUUACCUUAAUUUGUAACUUAACUAUUGAGACUUCUGGUAUGUGGACGUCACUUUGGACUCUGGGUCAUGUCCUGCCAAUGUUAGGGUCAGGACUAUUUCUGGGGAAAUACACAUUUUCUUAAAAAAGAAAAAGAAGAGGAGGUGGGCAGGUCACAUUAAAAUAUAAGUUGUUCCCAAAGGGUGGCUCUUCCUCUUGCUGGUGACUGAUCACUCACCGCUGUACCCAGGAGGGCAGGCUAGAGCCUCUGGGUCUUGACCUUGGCGGCACACUGGGACCACCUGGGCAGCUUUACGGACUCCUGGUGCCCGGUGCCACCCUCAGAGGCUCUGAUUCAUUGGCCUGGGGUGAGGCCAGGGCAUCUAGAUUAUUUAAGAAUUGCCCAGGUUAUUACAAUGUGUACUCAGGGCUGGGAACCCGAGGGCUGGAGGACCCCUGGGUUAGCUUCAGACAAUCUGAGUAAUGGUUUACUUUCUUUGGGUGGGUUGUCUUAUGCCUGGUGGAAAACACUGGACUAACUAAUUCUCUUAGAACUUGGGCUUUUUGACCACUGCAAGUGCCUUGUUUGAUAAUUGCCCACUAGCCAGGUGUUAAUUAACCUUGCUGUACCUCAGUUUGCCCAUCUGUACAAUGGGCAUGAUAAUAGUUUCUUAUCUUUUAGAGUUGUCUUGGGGAUUAAUAAGAGAAUUUGUAAAAUGUUUAGAACGGUUCCUGGUGCUGAGCAGGAGCUACAUAGGCACUUUAUAAAUAAAGGCUAAUUUGUUCCAUUGCACUCAACAUGAGUCCUUCCUUUGUGGACAACCGGUCAGGGAGAGACCCCCGGAGCCUUGACUCGCGGACCCAGGCUCCUUCAGCAAACUUCUUUAGCAAAGCACGGCUUGCUGAGUGGUGUGUACGUCCACGCCUGGGAUACAAACCUGCAAACCCUGGGCUGCUGAAGCAGAGCGUAUGAAUUCAACCACCACGCCACCGGGAUGGCCCCUCAGCACAAUUUUUAAAAUAAAAAUUGCAUAUAUUUAAAGUGUGUAAUGUGAUGUUUUGUUUUAUGUAUACAUUGUGAAACAAUUAUUGUAGUCAAG